AGUGAACGCUGGCGGUAGGCCUAACACAUGCAAGUCGAACGGCAGCACAGUAAGAGCUUGCUCUUACGGGUGGCGAGUGGCGGACGGGUGAGGAAUACAUCGGAAUCUACUUUUUCGGGGGGGUUAACGUAGGGAAACUUACGCUAAUACCGCAUACGACCUACGGUUGAAAGCAGGGGAUCUUCGGACCUUACGCGAAUGAAUGAGCCGAUGUCGGAUUGGCUAGUUGGCGGGGUAAAGGCCCACCAAGGCGACGAUCCGUAGCUGGUCUGAGAGGAUGGUCAGCCACACUGGAACUGAGACACGGUCCAGGCUCCUGCGGGAGGCAGCAGUGGGGAAUAUUGGACAAUGGGCGCAAGCCUGAUCCAGCCAUACCGCGUGGGUGAAGAAGGCCUUCGGGUUGUAAAGCCCUUUUGUUGGGAAAGAAAAGCAGCAGGUUAAUACCCCGCUGUUCUGACGGUACCCAAAGAAUAAGCACCGGCUAACUUCGUG
rnacentral:rRNA from 1 species